UCUUAGCCCUGAUUGAAACGACAUCCUUUUUAUGCUGAAUUAAAUUAGAUUUAGAUUUUAUAAUGCUAUUAAAUUCUAAAAAUGAAUUGAAUUAUAAGGUAUUCAGCAUAAAAAGAUAUAGUGUAAAGCAGGAAAUAGC
rnacentral:sRNA from 1 species